GAUGAACGCUGGCGGCGUGCCUAAUACAUGCAAGUCGAGCGAACAGACGAGGAGCUUGCUCCUCUGACGUUAGCGGCGGACGGGUGAGUAACACGUGGAUAACCUACCUAUAAGACUGGGAUAACUUCGGGAAACCGGAGCUAAUACCGGAUAAUAUAUUGAACCGCAUGGUUCAAUAGUGAAAGACGGUUUUGCUGUCACUUAUAGAUGGAUCCGCGCCGCAUUAGCUAGUUGGUAAGGUAACGGCUUACCAAGGCGACGAUGCGUAGCCGACCUGAGAGGGUGAUCGGCCACACUGGAACUGAGACACGGCCCAGACUCCGACGGGAGGCAGCAGUAGGGAAUCUUCCGCAAUGGGCGAAAGCCUGACGGAGCAACGCCGCGUGAGUGAUGAAGGUCUUCGGAUCGUAAAACUCUGUUAUUAGGGAAGAACAAAUGUGUAAGUAACUAUGCACGUCUUGACGGUACCUAAUCAGAAAGCCACGGCUAACUACG
rnacentral:rRNA from 1 species